CAAGUUAGCCACUCAGGGGUUGACCUGGCUCGCUGACCUGGCGUACGUGGCGACGCCCCGUGAGAAUACGUUUUCGUCUUUUGAAAGCGUACUUCACCGUGCCUUCAGACAGAAAUACGUUUUCGUUUUCUAAAAAUGUACUUUGUGUUGCCUUCGGUCAGUAAUGCGCUUUCCUUUCUCUGAAAACGUAUUUCCUUAGUGCGCUUUCUGUUUUAACCGACAAGGGCUUGUCUGUGAAUAUUUAUUUUACAGAUUAGUCCCUGUCCUCUAAACGUCUGUAUCUUUGCAACCGUAACUCCGAUCAAGGAGAUUCCGGCGCUCAUGUUCUCUAUUCAUCGAGCUCUUUCCAUUGGUAUCAUUUUCAUUAUGUUUUUACACAGUGAAAAUGACCACUUUGCCUUUGCCCGUAAACAGCCCCCUCCGAGAGAGAACUGUUUCCGGUAACUCUUUCCGCGAUCGUUUCACACUUCUUCCCAAAGUAUUUGUCGACCCCCAGGCAAGCCAACCUCUUAUCAUGAGCCCCGAACUUGCAUGUUGACUUUGCUAGUACCUUGUGUGUGUGCAUAGUUGCAGUAGUCCCCGUCUGUUUCGUCUGCCAUGAUUUCAAUUGUGCUUAAUUGUAGUACUUCUUGCCACGUCAUGCUUACCUUUCAUGAUAGCACUUGCGAUGCUAGUUAUAGUGUUGUUCAUAUGAUACUUGUGCUUGGUUAGUUUCAUGGUAUCAUGGUAGUAGUAUUUAUGCUAUGAUGAUUUUGGUUACGCCGUCGAUAAGCUAUUACCCGGUAUUGUCAUGUUUCAUAUGCUAUACCUAUUCGCUUGAAAAAGCCUGAUAUUUGUUAAUGCAUUUGUUUGCUGCAUGUUCAUUGUUGCAUCCUUGUUAAAUAUGCUCAUAAUAUUAAUGAUAACAUGACUUAAUAAUAAACCUCCUCCGUCAUCGAUGGGAUCAAGUCAUAGUGCCACCCAAAUCGAGCUUUCUCCAGUGCAACCACAUUUACCUUUAUGGGAGGUCCUAGCUGGGUCUAUUGUCAUGCCUCUCGCCGGUGCCUCCAAUGAGGGAAAGUUAUGGGCACGCGCUACCCUGAUCAGGUAGGCGGACAUAAGCCUUGUGUGCCCAGGUUUGUUUUUGAGCUCAUGUCCCUGUUUGGGACCAUUUUUGUUUUUCCACGACGGUGGCUAUUGGUGCCUUUGGUAGGCACGGGGCCACCCAGGACUGAAACCAAAAGGGGUGUUAGUCGGAGUGGCCAGGAGUGUGUCAUGGUAGUAGGUCGGUUUUGUCGGAACGUCGUUGGUCCACCCGAAUGGGAGUGCGAGGCCAUGGGUUCCAUGGUGUGGGUUAAGUGCGCUACCUUUGCAGAGUGUAUUCAAUCUAUCGAUAGCCGCGCCCUCGGUCAUGGGCACAGUUCGUAGUAGGUCACACUAUCGGGUCUUGGUCAAAAUGAAGGAUAAAUCUGCUAAUAACUAAUGUGAUAACUAAGAUGUGAUAAAUAAUGUGGUGACUUGGUGUCGGUGUACAAAAAGAGGGGUGCGUUUUUGUACCCCUCUACCUGUGCACGGGCAGUCGGAGCCACGCCUACGGUCACGCUAAGAAGAACAGGGAGGUGAGCCAAGGUAAGACCGAAGCCCAAGAUGAUCAGAUCAACACCAAGACCAAGACCACAAAGAGCAGAGGGACGAAGCAGGUUCCCCCGGCAAGACCCUUGCCGGGGGCAGCCUCAGCAGCCCCUGCAAGACCCUUGCCGGGCAGCUCGCCCCACACCAACAGAGCGAGCCACCCUUGAGCCCACGGUCCCCAACGCCAUCAUCCACGUGGGGCCAGGGCUCGGGAAGGCGCCUCUGUGGUGGCAUGCAGAUCUUUGUGAAGACAUAUUCAAGAUCAGAUGAGGACUAGAAGACGAUGAUUAUCCUCGGCAAGAUCCUUGCCGAGGAAGGCUACCAGACCCCCGGCAAGGCCCUUGCCGGGGACGACAGCGCGCCACGGCAAGACCCUUGUUGGGCCACCCGGCAAGGCCCUCACCAAGGACGCCAGCGGGACCACCACCAGGCCCGCACCAACCAAGCUUCCACCGCCGUUCCCAAGCAGCUGCCAGCCCAAGCAGCUGAGCGGCCACCUGCGUGGGAACAUGCAGCUCCCAGGCCAACUCAUCAAGCGCCUGCGUGGCGGCAUGAAGAUCUUCGUGAAGACUCCACCACCGUGCUACCUCAGCUGCUUGCCUGCCUACAUGGCACCGCGCGCAUCACUGGCCGGGGCGCGUGUCGAAGCGAGGAGGAGCGGCGACGGAGGGGACGGGCCUCGCCCCCGUCCCCGAUAAAGCAAGGGGACACCUAAUCCAGGCAUUAAAUGCGUCUUGUCCUGUAAUACGAGUGAUAAGCUCAGGGCACGGUACGCCUUUCCACCUCCUGUGUGCCACUGUAGCAGCCCCUUUUGACUAUAAAAAGGAGGCCCAUGGCAUACUGCAGAAGGAUUCGGCUCUUUCAAACCACGCACUGACCACAGCUAGUUCGAGAGCUCAAGAACUCUCUGAAAUACACCCACCAAAGCAGGACUAGGGUUUUACGCAUCCUCGUGGCCCGAACCUGGGUAAACGAUCCUUGUGCUGUCUACUAGCCCUGCUCUUCUCGCAACCCCGCGCCCCGGCCACCAUAGUUGGGAUUCUUGUGAUCCCAUAGGUGUCGUUCCACACCGACAUCUUUGGCGCGCCAGGCAGGGGACGCAAUUGUGAGAAUCUGGCCUAGUAGUUAGCCUAGCAGUUCUUCAUCGCGAUGGCUCCUAAGAAGAAGACGGCCACGGCGAUCGGCUCGUUGGGAGCCGAACGGCCCGUGCCGGUGCAGACGAGCAGUGGACCGGUCGCGGACAGGACCCGAGCCGCGGUCCGCGAGCACCAGCAUCGCCCAGGCAGUCAGAGCCCGGCGAGCAGUGUCGCUCGCGCGCCAAACGACCGGCCGCACGCUGCCAGACCCAAAGACGGAGCCGGGCCCCCCACAGGCGGCGCGGGGCCCUCCAGGGGUGUCGUUGUGCCACCUCCGGGCGGCGCAGCGACCUCCAAGACGCUCACACCAGCGACCACUGCGCGCUCUUCCCAUGGUGUGCACGCCGAGCAGCGCCACCACGUUGGUGACCCUGGGCACCGCCGUGGGAAGAGCCCUGUGAGUCACCCGCAAGAUGAAGGGGUCCAGCACGCUCGCCGAUCGCUGGCGGAAAUGGCACGUAGACGCUGUGUCGUAACGGAGCUCCUUCUAACGUAGUUAGUAGUCGAAGCGCGCCGCAAUCCACGCAGCUGUCGCCGCUGCCCACGCCAGCGGAAGCUUUGGCGCGCGCACAGCUGCUCCUCGACUUCCCUCCUGCUGCGGAGAAGCUUGACGAGUGGAGGGCCACCAUCCGGAGCCUCGUCGCGGUCGCAAGCAAAGACGAUCCACGGCCGGCGGGGCCCUCGGGUCGGCGCUCCACCGAGCCACCACAUGCUGGCGCUGGGAGGCCAGGGGGAGCUGCGGCCACGGUGCACUCUCCUCCUCCUCGCCAGCCGCCGCGGGCGUCGGCCCGUCGCGACGACGCUUGUGAUAACAUCUCCAUAGCGUCGUCCGACCCGCGGACCCUCCGCGACCAGCGCCAGGUCCUUCGGGAGCGAGCUCACGAAGACGCUCGAACCACCGUCGAGCAACGGCGCGAAACGCGCCGCCAGUCGGACAAGCGGGCGGGACCUGCUAUGGACCACCCGGCACUGGGGGGGCCCCGGCGGCCUACCUUACGAGGUGGGCUGCCAGGCUUUUACCCGUGAGCUGCGGCAGUUCCAGUGGCCGUCCCACCGCACGUUCAAGCCCGACGUCGGCGGGAAGUACACUGGCAAGACCCAUCCGUCCGAGUUCCUCAGCAUCUACACCAUCGCGAUGCAGGCUGCUGGGGCUCGCGACGACAAGGUGCUUGCCAACUAUUUCCCGCUGACGCUCAAGCCCAAUGUGAUGUCUUGGUUGAUGCACUUGCUAGUAUAUUCCAUUUCUUCUUGGUCAGAUAUGUGCCAUGAGAUCGUUGGCGCCUUCACAGGAGGCCACCAAGCUCAUGGCUAGGCUAGUGAUCUGCAUAUCAUUCCCCAGAAGGAAGGGGAGACCCUACGCAAGUACAUCCAGAGAUUCAGCCCGGUGCAGUACAACAUCCCCGACGUUCAUCCCGCCGCUAUGAUUAGCACGUUCCACCAGAACAUGUGCAAUCGCAAGAUGCGCGAGGAGCUGGCGAUAACCAAGGUUAAGGACGCGGCCGAGCUCUACGUUCUGGCCGAUAGGUGCGCCCGGGCUGAAGGAAGGAAGUACCACGGCGAAGAUGCCGACGAGGAAACCGACUCUACCGAUGAAGACGCCGCCACCCCGACGAAGAAGAGCCGGCAUCGCAACAGGAAACGCAAAGGCAAGGCCGUGCUUGCCGUUGAGGGAUCUGACGAUACCGGUGCCGGCAAGAAGGUCAAGACAGAUGCCCCUGGCAAGGAGAUUGCCGGGUGCGCCGCCUGCCGGGCCUUGGCGGCUACCGACAAGCCAGGAAGCUCCGGCAAGCAAUACUGCAAAAUCCACCGCACCAAGGGCCACGACGUCCAGAACUGCCGACAAGUCGAGCUGCUUGCUGAGAAGCAAAAGGCUGAGUACGAGAGGCGGGAGAAGGAGAAGGACCAGGAUGGUGCUGAGGGAUCCGGCAAGAAGCGUGGCCGCCAAGGAGGCCGCCCCAGCAAGGACGACCAGCAAGAGAGGCCCACCCGAGGCCGCGACAAGAAACAAGAAGAUGAUGAUCACGACGAGGGAGACGAGUCUGGUGAGCAAGGGUUCCAGAAGGCUACGGAGGCCAUAUGCGUCGAUGGCAGUGCCUCGCUGCAUACCUCUCACCGCUAGCUCAAGAAGUGGGCGCGUGAGAUUACAGCAGCAGAGCCGUCGUUCGACGCUCAGAAGCCGCUGAGGUGGUCCAGCACACCCCUCAUCUUUCACACCAAGGACCACCCCGACCGCACUACCGCGAUCGGGUGUUUGCCAUUGUUGGUCUCACCAACGAUACACAACCUCAGGGUGAACAAGAUGUUGGUUGAUGGCGGGGCCGACCUGAACCUGAUCUCGCCUGUCAUGUUCAAAAGGUUGCAAAUCCCUGAUGGAGACCUCGAGGAAACGGGCACGUUUCAAGGGGUCAAUCCGGGAAGGAGCCAGCCAAAGGGAAAGGUCACACUGCCCGUGACAUUUGGAGGAGAGUUGAACUACAGGACGGAGAGGAUCGUCUUCGACGUGGCCGAGAUCCCCUUGCCCUACAACGGGAUCCUCGGCCGCCCGGCAUUAGCCAAGUUCAUGGCGGCAUCACACUACGCCUACAUAAUGCUAAAGAUGCCCGGGCCGUUGACCAUCAUCUCCGUCCCCUCCGACAAGAAGGACGCGCUGAUCUGCGCCGACCAACUCUACCGGGAAGCAGUUGCAGCAGCUGCCGUCAAGGCACCUGCUCCUGCCGCUGAAGGCCCGGGAAGGAAGAAGGAGCCCGGCAAGACCUCUCGCACCCACUCCGGCAUGCACACCUCCUCGGAGUGUUGUGCUACCGUUGAGGACAUGCCAGAAAGCUCUACCGACAAGAGCAAGAGAUCCAGAACCGAGCUACCACAGACCAAGAAGGUGCCCGUCCGGGAGGAUGGCACGGGAGGGGCCUUCACCAUAGGCUCCACCCUCGACAGCAAAUAGGAAGGCGCGCUCGUCACCUUCCUGCGGGAAAAUGUCGAUGUGUUUGCAUGGCAAGCGUCCGACAUCCCCGGUGUUCCCAGGGAGGUGAUUGAGCACCACCUAGCUGUCUGCCCCCACGCGCGGCCCGUCAAGCAGAAUGUCAGAAAGCAGGCUCUGGAAAGGCAGGAGUUCAUCACAGAGGAGAUCAGGAAGUUGGAAGCGGUAGGUUUGGUGACAGGAGUGCUCCACCCGACGUGGUUGGCCAAUCCGGUAGUGGUGCGCAAGGCAAAUGGGAAGUGGAGGCUGUGUAUUGAUUACACAGAUAUUAAUAAGGCUUGUCCUAAGGACCCCUUCCCGUUGCCGCGCAUCGACCAGAUUGUUGACUCCACAGCCGGGUGUGAUCUGUUAUCAUUCCUCGGUGCCUACUCAGGCUACCGCCAGAUCUUCAUGACAAGAGAAGAUGAUAAGACAGCAUUCAUCACCCCAUGUGGUACGUAUUGCUUUUUACGGAUGCCUUUCGGGUUGAAGAGUGCCGGCUCAACGUUCGCAAGAGCAGUCCAAAUUGGUUUUGAACCUCAACUCCAUAGAAAUAUGGAGGCAUACAUGGAUGACAUAGUGGUCAAAACCAAGGACGGGCCAACUCUUGUGCAAGAUUUGGAAGAGACAUUCGCCAACAUGCGCAAGAUCAACCUCAAGCUGAACCCUGAGAAGUGUGUCUUUGGCGUUCCAUCCGGCAAGCUUCUCAGGUUCUUUGUGUCGCAGCGCGGGAUCGAGGCAAACCCAGACAAGAUCAAGGCUAUUGAGCAGAUUGAGGCGCACAAGCGAAUCGAGGAUGUGCAUCGGCUCACCGGUUGCGUUGCUGCCAUGAGCCGGUUCAUCUCCAAGUCCGCUGGGCGUGCCCUUCCUUUCUUCAAAUUCUUGAAGAAGGCGGGCCCAAUGGAGUGGACCCCAGAAGCCGAGGCAGCAUUGCAGGAUGUGAAGAAAUACCUUUCCUCCACGCCAAUACUGGUUGCGCCUAAACCACAAGAACCGUUGCUGCUAUAUCUGGCGGUGACGAAUCAAGUGGUCAGCGCGGCACUGGUGGCACAGAGGGAGGUCAACGAGGAGGCAGUGACGGCAGCAGAACCAGCGGAUGGCGAGCCAAAGAUUCCCCCGGCAGGGCCUGGUGCCGGCAAGGCGCGUCCCCCGGCAGAGUCUGAUGCCACCAAGGUAGUGCCCGCACAGUCGAGUGAAGUGGUGCAGAAGAAGAAAAUGAUGCAGCACCCGGUUUACUUUGUCAGCUCCCUCUUGCAGGGGGCUAGGUCGAGGUAUUCUGGUGUGCAAAAAUUGCUCUUCGGCCUCCUUAUGGCCUCGAGGAAGCUGCGUCAUUACUUCCAAGCCCACGAGAUCACUGUCGUCACCCGCCUCCCAUUGCAACGGAUACUGCAUAACCCAGAUGCGACCGGAAGGAUUGUGGAAUGGGCCUUGGAGCUAUCAAGUUUUGGUUUGAAGUUUGAAAGUACCUCAACAAUCCAGAGCAGAGUCUUGGCGGAGUUCAUUGCAGAAUGGACCUCAACGCCUGACGAAGAAAUCUAGGAGACCACUCUCCCCGGCAAGGAAGCAGACCGCGACUGGAUCAUGUACUUUGAUGGGGCUUUCUCGCUGCAAGGCGCCGGUGCCGGUGUGCUGCUUGUCGCGCCCACCGGAGAGCACCUCAAGUACGUGAUCCAGAUGCACUUCCCCAGGGAGAUGUCCACCAACAACACUGCUGAGUACGAGAGAUUGCUUGCCGGUCUCAAGAUCGCGGCAGACCUCGGGGUUAAGAAGCUCAUCGUCAGGGGUGACUCGCAGCUUGUCGUUAGGCAGGUCAACAAGGAUUACCAGAGCCCAUUGAUGGAGGCCUACGUAGAUGAGGUGAGGAAGAUGGAGGAGCGCUUUGACAGUAUUCAAGCGGAACACGUCCCCCGAAUGGAGAACGACAUCGCCGAUUACCUGUCAAAGCGUGCUGCAUUCAAGCUACCUGUGGAACCAGGUACCUUUUUGCUCCGGUUAACUCAACCAUCCGUCGAGCCAUCAGCGGGGCGGAACAAGCGGAGGAAGUCAGGUCCUGGCAAGUACUUUCCUACCGAGCCCCUGGGUCUGCCGGCAAGGGUGCCGCCGCGGACGCUGAGCCUGCCCAAGAGCAACUGGCUCCGGCAGGGCGUCAAGCCCUGGCUGUAGAGACAGCCGCUCCCAUGGCAGAAGAAAUGCCUUUGGCCCCUGCCGUCGAGCCCCAGGCUUCGGCGUGGGCGCAACAUACCGUCCAAUUCCUCCAAAUAGGGGAGCUUCCUGAGGAGCAGGAAGAAGCGGAAAAAGUAGCCCGUCGGUCCACCAUGUACCAGUUCAUCGAUGACGUCCUGUACAGGAGAAGGCCAAACGGUGUGAAAUUGAAGUGCAUCCCCCAGGAGGAAGGACUGGAGCUGUUGGUAGAGAUACAUGGAGGCAUAUGUGGCUCCCACAUAGGGUCGAGGGCCCUUGCCGGGAAGGUGUUCCGGCAAGGUUUCUUCUGGCCCGCCGCCCUCCAGGAUGCGACGGCACUAGUAACCAAGUGUGAAGCGUGCCAGUUCCAUUCAAAAAAGAUUCAUCAACCAGCUCAAGCCCUUCAAACAAUCCCUCUCUCCUGGCCAUUCUCGGUCUGGGGGCUCGAUAUACUGGGCCCUUUCCCCCACGCUGUCGGGGGCUUUGAGUACUUGUACGUUGCAAUCGACAAGUUCACAAAGUGGCCGGAAGUGGAAGCAGUGAGAAAGGUGACUGCUCAGUCAGCCAUCAAGUUUUUCAAGGGACUGGUCUGCCGUUUUGGUGUACCAAACAGAGUCAUCACUGACAAUGGCACGCAGUUCACAAGCCACACCUUCAUGCAAUACAUUCAAGACCUCGGUAGCAAGGUCUGUUUUGCUUCCGUGGCACACCCAUGGAGCAAUGGCCAUGCGGAGAGGGCAAAUGCUGAAGUGUUGUGAGGCCUGAGAACGAAGACCGUUGACAAGCUGCACAAGAGUGGAAGGCGCUGGAUUGAUGAAUUGCCGGCGGUUCUUUGGUCGACCAGGACGACGCCAAAUCGAGCCACUAGCCAGACACCUUUUGCCCUGGUCUAUGAGGCAGGAGAAGUUCUUCCCACGGAACUCAUAUAUGGGUCACCUCGAGUGCUCGCUUAUGAUGAGCUUGAGCAAGAGAAGUUGCGCCAAGAUGACGCGAUGCUCCUUGAGGAAGAUUGUCUUCAGGCGGCCGUGAGAGCAGCGCGCUACCAGCAAGCCUUGCGCCGCUACCAUAGCCGCAAGGUUCAUGCCCGAAGCUUUGAGGAAGGCGACCUUGUUCUUCGGCGCGUUCAGUCGGCCAAGAAUACCAACAAGUUGACGCCAAAGUGGGAAGGCCCUUAUUGGGUAAUACGAGUCACCAGGCCCGGCGCAGUCCGCCUGGAGACUGAAGAUGCCGUCCCAGUGAGCAACUCCUGGAACAUCGAGCAUCUUCGCAAGUUUUACCCAUAAGGCGCGGCUUGCCGGGCCUCCCGGCAAGCCACCUUUUGUACAAGCUUUCCCGGCAAGGCCUGUGACCCUUUGUAGAAAGUCAGGCGCAGACCCUGAGCAUAAAUAAAUGAAGCGCUGGCGCUCUAAGUUAUAGCAUGCAUGCUAGGUCGAGUCUCUUCCUUGGUUAGGGUUGAUAGUGCUUAGCGGCGACUAACCCCUAGCCUAGAGGUCGAGUGCGCGUCUAUCUAUUCCUUUUCUGUCCACCUUUGGUUCGCAGGGCACAUGAGCACUUCUGCUGAGCUACUUGGAAAGAAGAAAACGGACCGGCGUCCCGACCCCGGCAAACCAGAGUUGCCGGGGGCUGCAAGCACAAUGAUCCAAUCGCGGCAAGAUGAGAUUUCCGGGGACUGGAGAUCCAGAUAAGUCUUUUAUCCUCUGUCAUGCAUUUCGGAACCGGACUGGGGUAUGUGAAACCUCGUUUUUAUCUCUAGGCUGCCAUGCUCCCCUUUUUCCUAUACCUAAGGAUUAUCUCCUGGGCUCGGAUUUGGUUGUAGCCACGGCGACGAGGAGGUAGAACGAGGAUCCUAAAGCCCACCUCAUCCCUGCCUCCGCCAAGGGCGCGAGAACGGUCGAGUGGAGUGGGGGGACGACAAGGCCUGUUGCAAGGCGAAAAACGUUUAUCUUAAACAAUAACAAGGAUUCGCUCCUUGUCGCGGGAUUUACCCAUGAACGAAAAACCCGGCAAGCAUCCCUUUUUCAUUAAAAACAUCCCAUACAGGUAUAGUUCAUGCAAGAUGAAAAACAUGAGCAAGGGGAUUACAAGUUUUAAAUUUAACAUAGGCCCGCAGGCUUACAAACUAAAAAAGAGAUAAGAUGCCCGUAAUCCCUUUCUUGUCCCUCUCCUCAGGAGGCAGGUCAAGGAGGCGAAAGGGCAAAAGGGGCGCCUAGGCGAGCUACGAGCAGCAGAAAGCGCCAAGAGAACACCUCGGUGGCCUCCCAUGGGUGCGCCGGUGAUGACGGUGUCGGGAAAGGAGCUCGAAGACGAGGCGGCAGGACCGGCACUACGUGAUGAAGGCGUCGGUGCCCGCGUACUCCGAGUUGACGGCCUUGCCACCCACCCUCUUCGUCUUCCGCAGCCUUCCGACGCCAGCCGCCCAAGGAGACGGCCCCGAGAAGUUCAAGGAGCUAGCCCCGCCCCCGGCAAACCUCUGCUGGAGGAGCGGCCAGGUCCAGAUGCUGCUGCUGCCGCACCCGCCCAAGCGCGGGCCGUCCGACGACUAGUCGGACUCGUCCCUGCCAUUUGCCCCGCUGUCCUCCUCGUCACCUUCGCUUGAGGAAGAGCUUCCAUCGUCAGAAUCUCCAUCAGAGGAGCUCUCCACGCAGCACUUCAGGCGAGUUCCGAACUCUUGGAAGACCUUGACGGAGAGCAGGCCGCCCUCCAUUAAUUUGAAGUAGAGGACGAGCCCCGCCGUCAGGCUGUGGAUGCGAGCGAACGUCUUCCACCCACGACGGAGGUACAUGACCCGAGGAGCCGGGAAGUCGACGUCGACCCAUGUGCCCCCAUUCCCACAACCCCUCAUGUGCAAUAUGAGGGAUUGGGGCCGGUCACACUCCAUCUCCCGAGCGAACGGGGCAGGAAGACGAAGACGACAACGCAGAGGCCGGUGCAGCCUGAUGAAGAACUCGUGGGGCUGGUCUCCGACAUGGCCUUCCAUCAGGAAAGGCACCAUUGGCGAGGGCGAAGCCGGCACGCCGCCCCGUCCUCCUCUUCCUCGAGCACUACGACCUCUGCCCCGGCCUCGCCCCCUACCCCUUCCCCUCGCGGCCGGUUCGACCACCGCGGGCUCAGGAGGAGGAGGGACGCGUUGUCGAGCGGCGACCCUCGCCGCCACCGUCGAGGGACCGGGAUUCCCCUUCUCCAUGGCAGGUGAGAGGAAGAAGCAGAAGAAGGAGGAGAUAGAUGACAAAAGAAUGCGGGACGCCAUCCCCCUUUCCCCUCUUUAUAAAGGGCCGGGGUCGGGGCUCGGCCACCCCGCUCGGCCAAUCCAGCCACCGGAGGCACAGGGAAUCAGGACCGACCCGCUGCCCCAACCAACGACGGCCCGGUUUCCCACUUCCACCGCUUGCCACCCCAGGCGCAUGAAGGACGCGUGGCGGACGUGCAGAACUGAGGGGAUGGGUGAGGCGACAUCUCCCCACCCUGUGAUCGUGGGGAGUGGACGCCUUCAACACCGCGGCCCGGCCCCAUUCAGUAAAUGAGUCGGGCCUCCACGCCUCCCUCUUUUUAGGGGAAGGCGCGAGCCGCCUCUUUACUGCAAUGUGACGCAUGCGUGCGGAAACCGUUCCACGCAUGCCGCCCACGUCACGCCCACCCCUCCACGCCGUGCCUCGCGCGCGCGUCGUGGGAAGCGAAGCGCACGAAUAGUUUUACCGCAGUAAAAACCACCCCGCCUGCCCGCGCACCAUUUUGGGCCUGACCCAACAACGUGUCGCGCUUAUGUGUGGCCCAGGCCCGGGGGCUCCUGUCGGUGUACAAAAUUACAGGUGCGUUUUUGUACCCCUCUACCUGCGCACGGGCAGUCGGAGCCGCGCCUACGGUCACGCUAAGAAGAACAGGGGAGGUUUGCCAAGGUAAGACCGAAGCCCAAGAUGAUCAGAGCAACACCAAGACCAAGACCACAAAGAGCAGAGGGACGA
rnacentral:lncRNA from 1 species